rnacentral:lncRNA from 1 species
CUGUGAGCAAAGGUAACUAUGCCAUAAAACAGAAGGUCUCGUAGGAGAGGGUUAAUGAAAUGCUGUCAGCAUUCAGAAGAGGAAAGAGUAAUUUCCGGGUAGGUAUCAAGGAAGGCUUUCUGGCAGAUGUGGCAUCAGCUCUAUAAAUCUGUAACACAGUGUCAUGAACACUCAGGCUCUACAGCACCCCAAGCCCCACCUGCUCCCUCCUCCAUCAAUGUAGCCCUUCUUUCUUCUCCUCCUCCUGCUGUUCAAUCUCUCCCAUUUUUUGGGCCAAACCAAGACCUUGUAUUUUCUGGGAUGUCCCUCUGAAAAAAACACAAGAAUUUCUACAUAGAGGUAAGUCCAUGUGGUUUGAAGAAUCAUUAGAAAUUACACCUAUCCAUCUGAAAUUGUGUGGCUAUUGUCCAUGGAUGUAUCUCAGGGAGCAGUAGGGUGUAGAAGGCCAGUGGGUUAGUGCCUUGGAGGACCAACCAUGGAUAAAGGCCUAAAAGAUUUUCUUGGCAGCAAGAAGAAAAAAAAAAAAAAAUCAAAGAACCAGGCAUGCUGGUAUGGGCAUGCCAUCCGUAACGGCUGGUUCCUGGAAGAGUUGGGAAUAAAGCCUGGGGACGUUGCCCUCAGCCCCAUGGGUGAGGUCAUAGACAUCUGCUUGGAUUACCAUAGUGUGCUGCAUACUACCUGCCUUGUGAAACUGUAUGUGUCUGACAUGAUGAUGGUGACUCCCAGGUAA